GGAAAGAUGUCCGAGUGGUUUAAGGUGUAGAUCUGGAACGUCUAUAUGAUUGAAAAAUCAUCGAGGGUUCGAAUCCCUCUCUUUCCG
rnacentral:tRNA from 1 species